rnacentral:rRNA from 1 species
UACGGAGGGUGCAAGCGUUGUCCGGAAUCACUGGGCGUAAAGGGCGCGUAGGCGGUUCGUGAUGUCUGGUGUGAAAGCCCCGGGCUUAACCUGGGAAUUGCAUUGGAAACUAGCGGGCUGGAGUGUGGCAGAGGGGGGUGGAAUUCCACGUGUAGCAGUGAAAUGCGUAGAGAUGUGGAGGAACACCGAUGGCGAAGGCAGCCCCCUGGGCUAACACUGACGCUCAUGCACGAAAGCGUGGGGAGCAAACAGG